GUACUUGCUUUGGCAGCACAUACACUAAAGUUGGAGCAAUACAGAGAAGAUUAGCAUCACCCCUCGCAAGCAGGACAGGCAAAUUCGUGAGACGUUCCAUAUUUUU
ensembl:snRNA U6 U6 spliceosomal RNA